AGCAAGAAAGGAUAUUAAAUGAAGCCCAAAGCAUGUCUUGAACUUCCCAGAGGUCCACAUCCCCAGAAGAGAACCUGCUCUCAACAGGGAGACAAUAAUGGAUGGGCACAAGCAGACUGAUAUGGCUCAGAGAAAACUUUCUGAAAUCAGAGGGAGGAGGGAUUGAUCAUUGGCAUUUUAAUGAGGCCCAGAAUUUUCCUCCAGAGAACUUCCCCCAGCAUAUUACGCAGCUUUGGAAACAAACACUAGCUCCAGUUGUGUGGCCUGAAAAAAAUAGUGUGGUCCUAAAGGAAACCAAUGUACCCUAGGGGAUACAGUGAGUCUGUGCUAG